UGUUAUUUCUGUACUGUUCUGUCUCUUCCGUACCGGUCGUAUCCUCUACCCCCGGCUGUUUGUAUAUGGGGAAGGUAUAUCCCCCGGGACAAUCUAUCACAAAGCUAUCUGGUCGUGACAACGACGGCUGUUAUGGAGUAACCUGUCUGGACAUGGGGGACGGAUCUUACAAUCUUCUGAAAUGGAAUAACCACAAUUGUCCACCCCCUUCAACAAAUGAAAAUGAGUGAAGACAUCCACGCAUGGAAUCAAAUUCCUGAAGAAGCUGUAUGAUCUAUGUGGAUGGAUUUUAAAUUUUAAAGUUAAUAAAGGUUCUGAGUGUGAACUAUGCCACAGAAGGAUUGUAAUAUUGACAAA